rnacentral:lncRNA from 1 species
CUCCUAGUCACCCCUGUCCCCUGAAGGCCUGUCACCUGGCCUGUCCACCAGAGUGACAGCUCUGGCCCUGGCAGGCCUGGGGCCUCUCCCCAGGGGUUGUUUGCACGAUGAGGUGGGCUCUGGAAACCCCGAUGCCUGGCUAGCAUUUCAGCGCGGCUCUCCAGGCCCAGUAAACAAUAAUUCCAUCUUCAUCUCAUAAAAGUAGAGGGCCUGAAUCCUGAUCCUCCCAGGCAGGGCACUGUCUUGCUAUGUAGUCCAGAAUAGCAUCGAAUUCGUGGCUCUCUUCCUGUCUCAGCCUCCAGAAAGCACAUCGCUUCACAGUGAGUUUCAAAGAGGUUGCCGGCAAAGAAACUCGGACCUUUGGGCAGGCAGCUUUGCUCCUUCCUCUCUUCAGGCCUGGCUGACUCCACCAAUCUUUGAGGCCCGGAGAAGAGCACCGGUGUCACCGCCCACUCCUCCUGACAGCCCGCAACGGUCCAUCAGUGUCGGGGGAAAAGGGUGGCCCUAAGGCUCCCCCCCCCCCCGCACACUCUCAGAAGCUGCUGGUUGCCAUAGGGAACCGAGGGGCAAGACAAGGAAGGAUGCCAGGGGUGGGCAGACGCGGGAAGGCAAGCCCUGGCUCAGCACCGCGGACUCCCUUCCCGAAGUCCCUCAGGCUCCGGCCAGUGGCCGCGCUGAUGAGGCUAUCAUCUCGGGAAAGCUGGUGCAGCGGCCAGGGCGCAGGGGCUGCCAGCCAGGCCUGCUGUCUAGGCGGCUCCACCUGGAUGCAGAAAGCGAGGCGGGCAGGG